CCUCUCACUUUCUGCCCUUUGGCAGCUUAUUCUGAAAUGGCCCUUCUCUACAGUUGGGCUAAAAUUUCUGCAAAUGGCAAAAGGACAGUGAACAUUAGCAGAGCACCUACUUGGGGUCAAGUGUUUUGUGCCCUCCUAGGCUCUAACUUGUACUGAGUGGGACAGAGCCCUGCAAUUCAUCCUCACUCUCUUGGAACCCGAAGGCCACCGUGUUGUAAAGAAGUCCUUAAUAAAUACUUCAUGUAGA